rnacentral:rRNA from 1 species
UACGUAGGUGGCAAGCGUUGUCCGGAAUUAUUGGGCGUAAAGGGCGCGUAGGCGGCCAUUCAAGUGACGGGUGAAAGCCCUCGGCUUAACCGAGGAACUGCCUGUCAGACUGGAUGGCUUGAGACCGGGAGAGGUGAGUGGAAUUCCCAGUGUAGCGGUGAAAUGCGUAGAUAUUGGGAGGAACACCAGUGGCGAAGGCGGCUCACUGGACCGGAACUGGCGCUGAGGCGCGAAAGCGUGGGGAGCAAACAGG